rnacentral:rRNA from 1 species
CACGUAGGGUGCGAGCGUUGUCCGGAAUUAUUGGGCGUAAAGAGCUCGUAGGCGGUGUGUCGCGUCGGCCGUGAAAACCUGCAGCUUAACUGUGGGCUUGCGGUCGAUACGGGCAUCACUGGAGUUCGGCAGGGGAGACUGGAAUUCCUGGUGUAGCGGUGGAAUGCGCAGAUAUCAGGAGGGAACACCGGUGGCGAAGGCGGGUCU